ACGUGUGGUUGAGAAAACAAAUGCGCAAGGGGUGUGCGUAAACUAGCAGGCUCUUCCCCAGAGUCGGAUAGCUAAAAAUUUGAUUUUUGUGUGGUUAUACCUGUCCCAUUACAUAUCAGAACAUCUGGUAUGCUAUCUAAAUGGUCCACAAGACAGCACAGAGGGUAACCUUUCAUUUGAGACCAAGAUUAUGCUUCUACAUGUUUGGGUUCACUUUUGUUUACAGUAUGCAUUCUGGGUAGCCAAAGGUCUUUUUUGGAGUAUGCGUGUGUCUUCGUUUCCCCGAAAACACGUUACCCGCGCUGAGAGGUGCGGCUGAGAGUCAAACCGGUUCAGCUCACUUCCUCAUAAGUUUGUCGCAGCUUGGAGCCUUUCUUUCUCCGCUUUUUAAACCUUUCACCUGAUUAACUUUUAUAAGGUUAAAGGUUAAAGUGUUUUAUAAACACUUUAACCUCAGUUUCUUCCCUUACAUUUAUACUUUUAUUACUUUAUACCGUAUGGACGCAUUUUAAUCCCGGAAUAGAUACGAUAAGGUCUCCAGUCUACUAUGGAUGAGGAGAGAGAAGAGGGGGGUCCUACCUCUAAGACCACUCUGUCUGGGGAACAUGGCCGCCGGAGCAAAGCUAAGAGCCCAGAGAAGCAGGAGAGAGCAGCCUCCCCUGGACCCAGCUGUGUCUCCAUGAAGAGUGGCCACUCUAUGGAUCCACCUGUUAGUUUUAAAGAUGGAAAUCAGUCUAUCAAGAAGAGUAGAGUCCAGCAGGAGAGAGCAGACUCCCCUGGACCCAACUGUGUCUCCAUGAAGAGUGACUGGUCUAUGGAUAUACCUGUUACCUUUAAAGAUGGACGCCCCUCCAGAGAGGAGAGGUAGGGGUUCAAACAGACGAUGAAAACAGACCACUUGGUUGUUAUCAGUCUCUACUGAUACUGACUUCUACAAGUCUGGCGAAAUAGAAUUGUGUGUGUGUGUGUGUGUGUGUGUGUGUGUGUGUGUGUGUGUGUGUGUGUGUGUGUGUGUGUGUGUGUGUGUGUGUGUGU